UACGUAGGUGGCAAGCGUUGUCCGGAUUUACUGGGCGUAAAGGAUGCGUAGGCGGACAUUUAAGUCAGAUGUGAAAUCCCCGAGCUUAACUUGGGUGCUGCAUUUGAAACUGGGUGUCUAGAGUGCAGGGGAGGUAAGUGGAAUUCCUAGUGUAGCGGUGAAAUGCGUAGAGAUUAGGAAGAACACCAGUGGCGAAGGCGACUUACUGGACUGUAACUGACGCUGAGGCAUGAAAGCGUGGGGAGCAAACAGG
rnacentral:rRNA from 1 species